CUGAAAUUACCGUAGGAAAUGUCACUGGUUGGCAUGCUGAGUGAUAGCACCAACCAUGGAUGAAUACAUGAUACAGCCUACACAUUAUCUACUGGAAGCUGCCAUUAGGAAGUUUCUGGUAGCCCAAGUGACAGUAUUGCAUGAAUAACUUCAUCUUGGGGGACUGGAGAGAGAAGAGAGUGAAGUCUUGAUUGGAGAUUGCAUAUUACCUGGCAGGUUAACCUUUCUACAUAUGGGAUUUGGGUUCAAAAGCUGAUGACAAAACCACCAUGUGUCUAAAAACUGAUCUUUUCAAAUCUACCGUAUAAGCAAGUGGAAACUGCGAUGCCUGUUAAUUAACCCCUGAAUCCCAUCAAGGUAAUUGAAGCAUAAACUUAAGAUAAGAUUUACAUGGCAGACAAAGUAAAGAAUUCCAGAGCACGAUUCUCCCCACCCUAUGCCCUCUGCCUAUCUCAGUUUGACAAAAAGCGAUUCCCCAGCCUUAACCCAGAUUCGCUGGAAGGAGUAAAGUGAAAUAAAA